CCUACGGGGGGCAGCAGUCGAGAAUCAUUCACAAUGGGGGAAACCCUGAUGGUGCGACGCCGCGUGGGGGAAUGAAGGUCUUCGGAUUGUAAACCCCUGUCAUGUGGGAGCAAAUUAAAAAGGUAGUACCACAAGAGGAAGAGACGGCUAACUCUGUGCCCGCAGCCGCGGUAAUACAGAGGUCUCAAGCGUUGUUCGGAAUCACUGGGCGUAAAGCGUGCGUAGGCGGUUUCGUAAGUCGUGUGUGAAAGGCGCGGGCUCAACCCGCGGACGGCACAUGAUACUGCGAGACUAGAGUGAUGGAGGGGGAAGUGGAAUUCUCGGUGUAGCAGUGAAAUGCGUAGAGAUCGAGAGGAACACUCGUGGCGAAGGCGGGUUCCUGGACAUUAACUGACGCUGAGGCACGAAGGCCAGGGGAGCGAAAGGGAUUAGAUACCCGUGUAGUC
rnacentral:rRNA from 1 species